UGACUGCGAACCAGCGAGUUAUAUAAUA
rnacentral:sRNA from 1 species